GACGAACGCUGGCGGCGUGCUUAACACAUGCAAGUCGAACGGAAAGGCCCUGCUUUUGUGGGGUGCUCGAGUGGCGAAUGGGUGAGUAACACGUGAGUAACCUGCCCUUGACUUUGGGAUAACUUCAGGAAACUGGGGCUAAUACCGGAUAGGAGCUCCUGCUGCAUGGUGGGGGUUGGAAAGUUUCGGCGGUUGGGGAUGGACUCGCGGCUUAUCAGCUUGUUGGUGGGGUAGUGGCUUACCAAGGCUUUGACGGGUAGCCGGCCUGAGAGGGUGACCGGCCACAUUGGGACUGAGAUACGGCCCAGACUCCUGCGGGAGGCAGCAGUGGGGAAUAUUGCACAAUGGGCGGAAGCCUGAUGCAGCAACGCCGCGUGCGGGAUGACGGCCUUCGGGUUGUAAACCGCUUUCGCCUGUGACGAAGCGUGAGUGACGGUAAUGGGUAAAGAAGCACCGGCUAACUACGUG
rnacentral:rRNA from 1 species